ACCUAGCAGUGAAGAGAAGGCAAUGUGAAUAAAGCUGCUGGUUCUUCCCUAGCUUACCACUAUGCCUGAUUUAAUUCCCAUUUGUUGCAGUUUCUUAACAAUGAGAGUUUCUCUGAAAAUCCAGGACUUUCACCCACAAAACCUGAAUCAGUGCAGCCCAGCUUAAAGUUCAUUGCUUCUAUCUACAUAUCCAUCCACAGAUGAUGAGAAACGUGUCCAUCAAAGCACCACUCUUCCUAUAUGUUAUGCAUACAGGAUGUAUGUUAUACAUAUAUAUACUAUACACUCUUGUUUGGAGGGUUACAGAAUGAAACAGGACAUAUUUUGAACACCUAUUAUUUACUUUCCUUUCCCUUUUCUAAAGCUAAAGAGCGGCCAACUGGAAGUGGCUAUCUGUCAGUGGGCAAGAUAUCCAGGCUGGAAUGUCACGACAGAGUAAUGUGAGUGAAGCACUCCCAUGUAUGCCAGCUGGGUAAGAGAUGAGAGCAGUGGGACCUGCACCUAAAGCAGCAUUCUCACACACUGCUCAGAUUACUCCUUGCUACAGUCAUUGCAGUUAUGUACAAAGUAUGUAUGAGUGGAGGAGGAAAGCAACAGGAUACUCAUGUCAAAUCUCUGUGAACUCUCACUGCAGCACUGCUGAAUGUGUGCUGAUACCGUUAUCCACACACAGGAGCAAAAAUGCAUCUCUAAUGAGGAAUAGUUUUAGUCUGGAAGCAGACAGGGCUGGGUGACCACUUCAUCUGUGUCCAUUUUUUAAAUGGGUGCAGAAUAGCUGACAUUAUUAAAAUCCUUCACGUUCUUCACAUUUCUCCUUUCAUCCUAGGCUUGGCUUGACAGCUUUGCUCCAGAAGACAGCAAAAGUCCAGAUGGAACUACACACCAGUAAAGGUUUAAAAUGUCUCAUUAAGAAUCUUUGUAUAUAGUUUUGUAAAGCUGGUUUAACUCAGUAGAGGAGCAAUCUGACUUCACUGAUAACUGAAUCCAGGAGAAUGGCUAAUGCCAGUGGUACAGUUUAACAGGAGGUAGAUACUGCAAGCGUUACACGGUGCCCCAAGAGCAAAGCUGUGUCACUAAUGUGACAAUGUUUGAUGUUUUAUUUAAAACUGGUGUCUCAGCUCAGCUCUGCUAUAUUAAGGAGAAAGCGAUCAAAAAUACCACCCCAUAAUCUGACCUGAUUCAAAAAACUAUAUAAAUAAAUCUGCCACUCUUUUUAAACAGGAUGGAUUACAUUUUGGCAGAAACCUGAAUGAGAACAGAAAGAUGAAAGUAACUCACUAACCUAAUAACUGCACCAGAUUGGGGUGCUUGAUUUCCUUCAUCACAGCAGCUUCUUUCAAGAACUCUUCCACCUCCAUGGUAUCUUCCUAGACAAACACAGAAGAGAAGAUUUAUCCUCACGACCGAGGUCUGCUCAACGCCACGUAUUCUAGCUGAAUGGUAUCCUUACCUCCAUUCUGACAUUUUGGCUUUUACUAAAGCAAAAAUGUCAUAACACCCCUGAAAAGCUGGCCUGCAGCACAGCCAAAUAACAGAUGUGCAGCCCCUGGAGAGCCCUAGGUUCUACCACCAAGCUUCCACAGCUUUUCUGAGGGAAGGGAAGUAGCAGUGGUAACCAUGCCUACAGAGCUGGCUUGGACAUGCAGUUCCUGCAGGAGCCCAUUGGGCCAAAAUCCCAAGUUGUUUCUAAGCUACCUGCACUGCUGCAAACUCACCAAGCUGUCUUUCUUCUGCAAAGCUACUGUCAAAGCAUGGACUUUAUACAGAUCAGCACUCUCCAUUUUCAGAUAGUCGUAUCAAUAUGUGGUAUAACUGAGGAAGUUACAACUUCCUUCUACUUAUCGUCAGUGCUGACCACAUUAACAGCACGCAACAAUCUGAAAACCCACCUUUAAUGUUUUCACAGCAACGGUGAGGUUGUAUUUCUUCCAGACACCAACAUACACCUCGCCAUACUGCCCUCCCCCGAGUUUGUGCUUCAUGGUAAUGUCAGUCCGCUCCAUCUCCCACUUGUCGUGGAUGGGGGACACUCCAUACACAGUGGGCUUAUUGCACUUGGGUGCUGGGUAAUGCAGAGUCGUCACCAGUCCAUCUGCUACUGUGGAGUGAUGGUGCACCAGUUCUGCUAGCGUGCUGAAACGGCUUUCUGCUGUCACGUACACCUGUCAGGAACGAACCAGGAAUCUGCUUAGGUAAAGGCUGCUGAGAGCUUUCAGUUAUGCUGGAAAAUGGGUACAGUAAAAACAUCCCAACAGCUUUGGAAAAAAGAAAUAACAGAACCAGAUGUUAGAGUACUGGUUCUCAGUUGGGUUGAGCAAAUGAACGCUCCUCUGUGCAAUUUUCACUUGCAGAAGGCAGCUAGAUAGAUUUCCCUUUCCCGCAGCAUUGUGCAGAAAUCCUUACCUUUCCAUCUGAGGUGGUGUUGAUCCUGUAGUGGUAAACACGUCCCUCGUACCUGAGCGAGAUGGACAGCUGCCCUGGGCUGCUCUCACUCUCACGAACCAGGAAGCUGCCAUUGAUGAGGCUGCUCAACAGAUACUCUGCUGCGCUGCGUGACACCGGCCCGUGAUACCACGAGUGCUUCUCCAGGCUGUUGACUGGUGUGAUGUAGUUGCUUGGUACCCAGCCCUGCCCAUUCUUCGAACGUACCUCACUCCAUUCACCAUUCUGGUUGUAACCCAGGACUCGCAACUUCUCACCUACGACCCAGGAGGAAAAAAAGCCGAGUAAGCACAAUAUGAUCUACUGGGUCUCACUAACAGAGACAUUCACUCCCAGCUGACUAAGCUUUGUUUCGUAGCUAAACAAUAAAAAUCUUGCAGCAGUGACUUAAUGAAACUGGUAUACGUAAAGUAUUUAUGAGUAAAGUUUCAGCCAGAACACUUGACUAAUUUAUUGCAGUGUAAACGAUGAGCUCGCAAAGCUUCUUGCAGUCCAUAUUUCAGACUAGAAAAGUGUUUUUUCUUGGAAGAAUGAGGUUUGUCUCCAUCCUGAAGCCUUAAAUGGCAUUUGGUUUUUUAACAAUUGUGCAAAAGGGCAUAUUCUGAUAUACUUAUUAAACAGAAAUUCCUCUGUGA